CGAGCAGACAGUCCUCCACACAUCUUUGCUACUGCUACUGCUGAUGCAGCAUGAUGCCCUUCUGCAAAGACCAGGCACCUUUACAUCGCCAUCAGUGGAAAGAGUGGAGCUGGAAGGACAGAGAGUGCUGAUUGUUCAACAUCUCACCUGCCUGGGAAAGGGAGUCUCUGCAGGGAGUUGUAACACGUGUACGGCCAUUAAUGACAAUUCCAGUCUCUUUGCGAAGUACCUGGAGAUUAAGAAUUCACUGCAAUUACUUCCGAACACCAGACAGAUAAAAGUGAAGUGCUUAAUGGUGAGGCCUUAGAAAAUGCUUUGCUCUGCAUCGGCCCUGAGGUGCUCAUGGAGGCCCUGACGUCCCACUAUGUGGUGACCCGGGGAGAGACCAUCAUCCGCACCAAUACUGUAGACAAAGCCACCGAAGUCCGGGACGCCAUGUCCAAGGCUCUGUACGGACGCCUCUUCAGCUGGAUAGUCAACCGCAUCGAUGCCCUCCUGCAGCCUGAUAUGAAUAACUAGUAAGUGUAAGGCACUGGUUCUCUCUCUCUGGUC
rnacentral:lncRNA from 1 species